AAAUCUUUCUCAUCUGCCUCCAAUAAGUUCCUUGCGGGCUGAAGGUCAUGCCCUUAGAGCCAAAAGUGAUAACAUCAGCAGCAUGGCACAUAAGGCCUAUUUGCAAAGAUGAUAUCAUGUGUGUUCAUCACUUCUUUCGCCAUUUGGGGCGAAGAUACCACUAUACAGCAAAGCUCACCAAGCUGCAUAUGCAUGAGAGGACCAUAUUGACUUGCCAAUCUUGCUAGGGACCUAUGGGGCAAAGUUCCAAGGUGCUGUAUACUCCCUAUGAAGGGUAGCUUUCUUGGUCCUUGUGGCAACUUGGAGUUUGAAUUCUUUGUUUUUGAUCUCCAAAGUGUGUUGAUUAUCGUGAACACUAAGAAGAAGAAAGGAAGGAUUGUAGAUAAGGAAAUUAUGUGAAGUUCCAACAUAGUUUUAAUGCAUAAAAUCAAUUAUAAAAAUAUAAUAACUAUAAAAAAAAUGUUUAUUUGAGUUUAAUUGUUAUGUUAGCACAAUAUAAAAUAAUUUUACAUUAUUAAUUAAUUAGAAAUUAUGAUUAUUAUAUUUUUUAAUAUAGUUAUUAUAAAAGUUAAUAAAUUUAUUAUACAUAUAUAAAAAUUUAUAUUUAAAUAACAUUAUAAAAUUAUUUUAUAUUACAUCACCUAUUUUUUCUUUUUAUUUUUAAAACCAGUUACAUAUUCAUAACAAGUUAUAUAACCGAUUAUGAUUAUAUAACCAAUUACAUAAUCAGUUUUUUUAAAAUCAGUAUCCGGUUAAACCAAACCAUUACUAGUUAUAUAAAUUUGGGUAUGAUUAUAAUAAUCACUUAUGAUGUCUUUUAAAAAAAAUCACUUAUAAUCUGAUUAUUUAGUAGUUAUGGUUGUGGGUUGUUUAAUAACCAAACCAUGAACAAUCUUACCUCCAUCUUAUUCUAGUCUCUAUAUUUUUCAGUAAAUUCUCCUGUGUACUCCUCAUUUGAUUAUUAAUUAAAUGAUAUAAACUUAUUUCUCUAAAAAAAUUCUAUAUAAAUAUUUAUAUUCUUUUUUAAAGGAAAUAUUUAUAUUAUUUUUCAUUUGCAAAUUAAUCCGUGCAAAUCAAUGUUAUAUUGAUAUAUCAAACUUCCAUUACAAAUCAAAAGUGAAAAUCAAUACAUAGUCAACUUUAAUCUACUUUAAUCUGUAUGUAUGAAAAAAAGAAGUGCUAGUUUUAGGGUACAAAGUCUUUUUUAAGAAAACAUGCUAAAUUACACGUCUAAUUAUUUAUCUUAUUUUAUUAAUUAGAUUCAAUUAGUCUCUUAUGUUUUAAAAAUAAUAAUUUAAUCCUUUAUAUUUUAAAUUUAAGUGAAUUGAUCUUUUCAUAAGUUUAAAAUUAGUUAAUAAUUUUACCAUGAUCACAGUUGACAUAAAAUAAUACUAAAUGACUUAAACAUGAUUCCACACACAUAAUAUAGUGAUUCUCUGUACGGUCUCAUGAAUCUUAAAAGUAAUUAAACUCAUGUUCUAAUUUCUGGAGUUAUGGCUGUGAAUUACAGAAAAUAAAUUUAAAGGACUUACUCUAGGAUACAAGCCAAAUUUUAAAAGAGAGAAAGAAGGAUGACACAUUAGCUAUUGGCCACACGUGGCCAAUGCCUGAUAGGAACUGCACACAACAGUUAUGGCCUUAGCUUGGAGAAAUUAUGUGGUCCUAGAUUGCAUGUCCAUGGUCCUAAGUCCAAACAAAUUUUCUCCAUCAUAUAACUAACUGAGAUUUUCAAUUUAUGAUAAAGAGUUAAUGACACUCAAUUAUGCAGCUGUGUGGUAAGUGAUAGGAAUCAACUGCAAAUCCUGUUUUCUUUUUAGUGACAAGCCAAAGGAUUCAGUCAUAUCAAGUUCUUGGGGACUAUUCCCUGGAGCCAUCUUCCAAUCGAAAUGGAAAAGCAAAUUUGCAAGUGAGAAUUCAACAUUAACAAUGCCAAGAUUGAUGCCAGGGCAUAUCCUCCUUCCAGCUCCAAAUGGAAUAAACUGAAACUCACCACCUUUGUAAUCAAUUGAGCAAUCAAUGAACCUUUCAGGACUAAACUUCUCAGCUUCAAUCCAAUAGUUAGGAUCCCUCCCAAUUGCCCAUGCAUUAACUAUGACUUUGCUCUUGGCUGGUAUCUCAUACCCAUUAAUCUCACAUCUCUCACUGCAUUCCCUUGGAAGCAGCAAUGGAACAGGUGUAUGCAAACGCAAAGUUUCCUUGAUAACUGAUCUCAAGUAUUUCAGUUCAUGAAUACUUGUUUCAUCCACGUAUCCUUUUGGAUCAAAGACUCUUCUUACCUCAAUUUGUGCUUUCUCCAUCAUCCUUGGGUUCUUCACAAGUUCUGACAUUGCCCACUCCAUCGUUGUUGAAGUCGUCUCGCUUCCAGCACUGAAUAUGUCCUGACAGAAAGAAAUGUUGGGGCAUUUCAGUAGUGCAUAGUUAAAUAAAAUCACCAAGAGUUCAUCACAGAAUCAAACUUAGUGCAUGUUUGGAUUACCAUUUCAAACCUUUAAAAGUACGUUCAGAAUAAAAGAUACAAAUGAUAUCCUUCACCAAAAGUAAUUUCAGCACUCUCUAAUAAGGGAAAAGUAAAAGCAUUCUAAACAUAGCGUUAUCAGUUAUUUCGUUUAGCUUAAUGUAAAUCAUAGUCUAAAGUGUUAAUAACUUAAAACCAGAACUUCAGUUCAAAACAUUAGAUUAAAUGAGUAGAUAACUACAUAUAAAUUAAAAUAGGACAGCUCUUGAUGAUUGUCAUAGGAGGAAGUCUACUAUUGACCCGGAUUUGGAAAUUCUGAUGGGUUUAUCUAUUGGUAAAAUAUUAAACAAGUUGACAAUAUCGUAAAAGAUGUUCAAGACCAAUAUUAUCAAUCCUACUUCUACUACUGCAUCAAACAAUCAUCAAUUGAGAAAAAUAAAAUCAUAUCUACAAAAUAUAGUUAUCUUAGCAAAUUUGCAUAGAUUUUUAACAGAGACAUACUAUGAUACUAACCAUAAUGGUUGCUUUGACAACAGUGUCAGAUAAGGGGUGUUGGAGGUUACCAUUCUUCUGAAGCCUUAAAAGAACAUCAACUAGAUCUUCCCCAUUUUCUUCACCAACAACAGGCUGUGUGUCCGAAUUUUUGUCUCUGUGAUCCCUAACAAUGUUAUCAAUUAUCCUAUCCAUUCCUCGACGGAUUUUCUCAACUCUAGGCCUAAUCCCAGUAAGAACUUGAAGAAGUCCAAUGGAAGGAUACAGAUCAGCAAGAGAGAACCCUGAAACUGUAUCAGUGACACCCUUCAUAAAUUCUAUAUAAGCCUCUUGGUCUUUGGAUUUUUUACCAAAAGCAAUCCGUGAUAUUAGCCCAUAUGCCAAUGAACUAAUCUUCUCACUGAGAUUGAUAGGUGACCCUUCACUCAAAGACAUCUCUUUGACAAAAAUUGACAACUCUUGUUCCCUGAUUGAUCUGAAGGAGUCAACACGCUUUGGUGCUAGCAGUUCCAUGGUGCAAAUCUUUCUCAUCUGCCUCCAAUAAGUUCCUUGCGGGCUGAAGGUCAUGCCCUUAGAGCCAUAAGUGAUAACAUCAGCAGCAAGCACAUAAGGCCUAUUUGCAAAGAUGAUAUCAUGUGUCUUCAUCACUUCUU
rnacentral:lncRNA from 1 species